GGCACAGUUACUUCUCCUCUCUGAGCCUCGAUCUCCCUGCCGGCAAAAUGGGGAUCCUUGUCCCAGCUCCACUCACUCUAUAGGGAAUGAAAAGAUCUAAAGAAGUCUGGCCAGAGGGACACUGAGAUGAGCAAUGUGGUUGGAGGAGAGGAUACUGACCCAAGAAUUCUCUGGAUAAGAAGAAGGAGGAGGGGAAGCCUGAAGUGGAUGGGUCGAGCCUCAGCUGUGGAAGAAUUGCUAAUUACAGCCACCAUAAGGAAAUAUCAAUGAUGGACGUCAAUAUUAUUGCCUCCUGCAUCCCUGCCUGUUUAUUUGGAGAUGAAAAGCGCCCUAGGGUCAUCUCUCCAGGACGAAGAUGAGUGAUGACAGAAGGGAGGAGAGCUACACAUGGAGAAAAGGGCAUCCUCCAGCUGGAUUCAUUCAUGAAACCAGGACCCAUUUCCUCUGGGCAGAGUUCUCUCCACUGAGGGCCCAGGGCUGGGGCUGAGGGCAAAGGAACCUGCACAGGGAGGAGGAACUAGUGAUCCUGCUCCCAGCCCUGGUUCACCAAGUGACUGCAUGUAUGCCUCUUUGUGCCUCAGUUAACUCAUCUGAUAAAUGGGUAUGACAAUUCCAGUCCUGCCUACCUUGUGCAUUGUGAGGAAGUGAAUGAGGUGCAAAAUCAGGGUUUUAGAAGGACGACCCAUGGUGCAAAUGCAGGGGCUUCGUGGGCUGGAGGAGACACGUGGGGUA
rnacentral:lncRNA from 1 species